AGUGAACGCUGGCGGUAGGCCUAACACAUGCAAGUCGAACGGCAGCACAGUAAGAGCUUGCUCUUACGGGUGGCGAGUGGCGGACGGGUGAGGAAUACAUCGGAAUCUACUUUUUCGUGGGGGAUAACGUAGGGAAACUUACGCUAAUACCGCAUACGACAUACGGGUGAAAGCAGGGGAUCUUCGGACCUUGCGCGAGUGAAUGAUCCGAUGUCGGAUUAGCUAGUUGGCGUGGUAAAGGCCCACCAAGGCGACGAUCCGUAGCUGGUCUGAGAGGAUGAUCAGCCACACUGGAACUGAGACACGGUCCAGACUCCUACGGGGGGCCGCAGUGGGGAAUAUUGGACAAUGGGCGCAAGCCUGAUCCAGCCAUACCGCGUGGGUGAAGAAGGCCUUCGGGUUGUAAAGCCCUUUUGUUGGGAAAGAAAAGCAGCAGGUUAAUACCCCGCUGUUCUGACGGUACCCAAAGAAUAAGCACCGGCUAACUUCGUG
rnacentral:rRNA from 1 species